UGAUGCGUUGUUGGGUAGGGGAGCGUUCUGUAAGCCUGCGAAGGUGGCCUGUGAGGGUUGCUGGAGGUAUCAGAAGUGCGAAUGCUGACAUAAGUAACGAUAAAGCGGGUGAAAAGCCCGCUCGCCGGAAGACCAAGGGUUCCUGUCCAACGUUAAUCGGGGCAGGGUGAGUCGACCCCUAAGGCGAGGCCGAAAGGCGUAGUCGAUGGGAAACGGGUUAAUAUUCCCGUACUUGGUGUUACUGCGAAGGGGGGACGGAGAAGGCUAUGUUGGCCGGGCGACGGUUGUCCCGGUUUAAGCGUGUAGGUGUGUGUUCCAGGUAAAUCCGGUUCACUUUAACACUGAGGCGUGAUGACGAGGCACUACGGUGCUGAAGCAACAAAUGCCCUGCUUCCAGGAAAAGCCUCUAAGCAUCAGGUAACAUCAAAUCGUACCCCAAACCGACACAGGUGGUCAGGUAGAGAAUACCAAGGCGCUUGAGAGAACUCGGGUGAAGGAACUAGGCAAAAUGGUGCCGUAACU
rnacentral:rRNA from 1 species